GACGAACGCUGGCGGCGUGCCUAAUACAUGCAAGUAGAACGCUGAAGAGAGGAGCUUGCUCUUCUUGGAUGAGUUGCGAACGGGUGAGUAACGCGUAGGUAACCUGCCUUGUAGCGGGGGAUAACUAUUGGAAACGAUAGCUAAUACCGCAUAACAAUGGAUGACCCAUGUCAUUUAUUUGAAAGGGGCAAAUGCUCCACUACAAGAUGGACCUGCGUUGUAUUAGCUAGUAGGUGAGGUAACGGCUCACCUAGGCGACGAUACAUGGCCGACCUGAGAGGGUGAUCGGCCACACUGGGACUGAGACACAGCCCAGACUCCUACGGGAGGCAGCAGUAGGGAAUCUUCGGCAAUGGGGGCAACCCUGACCGAGCAACGCCGCGUGAGUGAAGAAGGUUUUCGGAUCGUAAAGCUCUGUUGUAAGUCAAGAACGAGUGUGAGAGUGGAAAGUUCACACUGUGACGGUAGCUUACCAGAAAGGGACGGCUAACUACGUG
rnacentral:rRNA from 1 species